rnacentral:rRNA from 1 species
GAUGAACGCUGGCGGCGUGCCUAAUACAUGCAAGUCGAGCGAACAGACGAGGAGCUUGCUCCUCUGACGUUAGCGGCGGACGGGUGAGUAACACGUGGAUAACCUACCUAUAAGACUGGGAUAAUUUCGGGAAACCGGAGCUAAUACCGGAUAAUAUAUUGAACCGCAUGGUUCAAUAGUGAAAGACGGUUUUGCUGUCACUUAUAGAUGGAUCCGCGCCGCAUUAGCUAGUUGGUAAGGUAACGGCUUACCAAGGCAACGAUGCGUAGCCGACCUGAGAGGGUGAUCGGCCACACUGGAACUGAGACACGGUCCAGACACCUACGGGAGGCAGCAGUAGGGAAUCUUCCGCAAUGGGCGAAAGCCUGACGGAGCAACGCCGCGUGAGUGAUGAAGGUCUUCGGAUCGUAAAACUCUGUUAGUAGGGAAGAACAAAUGUGUAAGUAACUAUGCACGUCUUGACGGUACCUAAUCAGAAAGCCACGGCUAACUACGUG